CGUUGACAACAAAAUGUCUCCUUGACUGUAAAAGUUGUAUUCAUCGGGAUUCUCAGUUACAAAUGGCAGAAACCAAACUGCAAUGAGCUCAGGCUCUUCUAACCGCGAGGGAAAAUUCCCAGCUCUGAAACACAUUCGCCCAUUGCACGCUCCAAGGGUUCA